CCAACGAGGUAGGCCGACCGAUGUCACACUCCGUUAGUUAGGUAGACUGCUUGCCGGGUGCCUGCUUCAGCUCCACCCCCGCACUGCUGGGGCGUAGUCGAGGGAGAAGAAGGGUAGGUGAGUUGGAUUGUGUGUCGUAGGUAGGGGGCGGGCCGGCGCGAGUUAGGCGUGGGGGUGACAAAGGUCCAGGCUAAAAGACGGGGCCUAGGAACGAGUCAACGAGGUAGCUAGUGGUACUUCUACGGUUCAAGUAGCACGACUCUCGCCCUGCGACUGUCCACCACCCGCACCACUCGCGCGACGCCCUCCGGUUCAAGCAGGGCGUCUAGCAGUCGCAGCCUGGCCUAGUCCGCUAGCAGUCGCAGCCUGGCCUAGUCCGGCUCUUCUUAGGACUGGCGCAGCGGAGGCAGACCGUCGGGCUGCCCAGAUGAGAUAACAAGGCCAACGUCUCUCUAGCUGUACCUAGACGACGAUGGCGGCUAAUCACGAAGAGAACCACGGUACCCGAGGGAACGUGUGUUCGACCUACGCGAGGAGCUAUGUCUUGUGUUCCUACUCUACCCCUUUGAGCCUUGGGCCGACGACCUCGAGAGGUUCCGUGCUCUGGGAGGGCAAUGUCGCUCCUAGACCUACUUCCUACACGCGCUUGAUAGGAUACUAUACCUCUUGAAACAGCUGUGACUUCUUCUAACCUAGGUGUUGUACAGUGGCAAGUACCCGACACACUUCCUUCGUUUACGUGCCAUGCUCUCCAUGUCCGAACUCUCGCAGGGGUCGGUGUGUAUACAGAAAGGUUAGUAGGUGGUGGCACCGGCCUUCUGUCCAGAUCAGCAGCCGGAAGUACUGUUCCCACCGGGCCAACUAUCCGAGACGGUUAACGACUGGCUACCUCUACUCGUCGAGUUCCACAAUAGGUAACAGCCACAACCUCCCUAGCCCUUCUGGUGCGAACGGUUUGUCGAUACCGCACUCGUGUUUGAGUCCCUGAUGAAGGUGACGGCCCGAAAACACGCCUGCCGGUUCUUUGGUCUGUACUCCUCCUAGGAUUCCUCGUAUGAGCGUGUUCAAGCAGGCGUGGUUGGUGGACUACGAUCGCUCCACCUGCUGGAGUAAGUGCUAGAGUGGCUCGUAGAUGUCCUAUUUUCCAUAUAAUAAUAUUAACUACUGUAUACCCUAUGUAGUCAUACCCUACAACGAUGUACACGAAAGGGUCUCCCAUUAGUACCUUCGUCCUAUUAUUGUUGUUGUCUUUAACUCCUACAACGGGAUCGUACGACAUCAAUGGUCAGGUUCAUGUAUAAAUUCUACCUCGGUGAGUCACAGUCAGUUAGUUUUGUUAACAAGUGGUUACGUCACAAACCGAGACCUUUUCUCUUUAGAGGAGUUAAUCUACUUCACAGUCUACUCUAAUAUUCUUAUACACUACCAAAUGGUGUCCGUUAAUAGUCGUAUAGGUCACAAGAUCAUUCGGUAUCCCUUCGUUUACGUCAUCUCUUGACCCUCGUGCAUGUCUUGUUAAACGGUUGUUCAUGUUGAAGGCUGCUCUAUGACUUGAAAACGAUGUUAUCAGAAGGGUCAACACAAGUCUGUACAGACAACAUAGAACCGUAUAUGGGCCUCUUGAUAUAUUAGAACUUCCUUCUAUAUUACUUCGUUACCCAUCGACUUACAAAAUAGGCACGUGGUUGUCUCUUUCUUUUUUACCUUCACCGGCCCUCGAUAAAACUAUACGAACAUUUAUACCCGUACUAGGUUGUAUAUCUGCAUCUGAUAUCGUUACGCCAUAACAUGAUACGUCACUUAGUGUACCAUGUACUAGAAUAAUGAAGAUUCAGGUAUCUUCUAUUAAAAUAGUGACACUAUCUAAUAAGAGUCUCCGUUAACGCCGAAAGAUUGUUCCAAUCAGCAAACAGGGAGGUCAAACCGCCGCGUGGUAAACGUUGAUGUGGUCGUUCAUGACCUGAUAGUGUUUAAGCCAGCGAAUGAAAAUAACCUGACUACUCGACGAAAGGAAGUCAACACCUCAAAUUCGAAGAAGCUAAAGACUUGGAAGUAUAAACCUCACUAGUUGGCUCGUGUAUGAAGCUGGAGUCCCAAUAGACACUUAAACAAGACAACUCUAUAAACGUCCAGUGGACGUCGCUGUGGCAUAUAGAAGGUCUAGUCUACGUUCCAGACUUUGUGAACCUUUGUGAACUUUAUUUACGUUCUCAUUAUCAAUAAGGUAGCCUACAACAAGUAGAAGUCUCGAACAACGUAGAGGCAGAGCCUCCACCCUGUCUUGACGGACUACACUGACCAUAUGGGUCUUUACAGUGACACGGAUCACAACGGUUAAAUAACCUACUCAGUUCGUCAGGAGGUUUUAGUCACUACUGUUAGCUCAACAACGGUGGGUAAACAUCUUAGGGGCUCACCUAACCUGUCGAAUUGUUGGAGACGUAAGACUUUCAACAGCAGCCACUUGACGAUUCCCUACUAUAGGUAUAGGACCCUCCUAACGGUCGGGACUGACAAGAGUGUAACGUACAUGUCGCUGCUUGAUGUCUUGAUUAACCGAAGUGUGGAUCUCGUAAAUUACGAGAUCUUAUAAAACUCAAGUCCACACCGCAUGACGCGGACUACAAACUCCUUCCUCGUUACGGGUUAGAAGUCUCCUAAUUCGAUCCAAAGUUAAGAGUGUCUCCUCUUGUCAUGCCAGCAAACGAACACCCGUAACUCGUGGACAGUUUGCAGGUCCUCUAAAGACCUUAUUAACCCAGUUGGCAGCCACGUCUCCUUAUACUGAACGUUCGACGUCUCAGACGUAAGUUCCUACGGUGACCGUUUGUAGUAUCAUUGCAGUCGUAUUUUUCUAGUCUAUAACAACACCUUCUCAUACCAGGAGAUCUUUUUGUCGUAAACCACGCUCCCUUUGUGGGUAGCUGUAGUUCACUUGUAUGACCUUCAGCCUUUGUUCUCAGGGUCGUUCGAUAUUUCGUUUUGAGGGUAUUGUUAAGAGUCAACUAAUCGUCCUCUUCACUACCGUUGUUUGUUCGUUCACACCUCGAUGCCUUACUGGGCGCUAGUAGCCACGUCUUCCACUAGCAUUAGUUCUAUCACCUGUAAUGUCUGUUCGCCACCUUCAGGUCACGGAAGUUUCAGGAAAGCUUCAAGGUACCCUGGUUAAGCCAUCGCCGUUUGCUCCUCCUCCCCUGCGAUUGACACCACCCCCUGGACCUGGGCCACCAGCAUCACGACCGUAAUGUCUUCCGGUUUGAGUUACACGUCUAGCAGUCGUACCCCAGCGUAUAGAAGAGUUACCCGCUCCCCAACUACCUGUUUGGGCUCCCUGCGUUUUACGGACCUGCAUUGGGCGGGCUCCCUGUUGUCUUCGGACUUAGAUUGGGUUGGGUCGACGGCGUGUCAGAGUAGGGGGGCAUGAGGGGAGGGAUGGCCGGUGGGGGGAUGGCAGUUGUGGCUGUGCUCCAGGUGGUCAGGGCCCUCCUGGGGUUGAGUACACAGUAGGUCACUAAAAAAAACGUACCCAUAACACCUAACAUAAGUAGUAUUUAUUACAAUCUCGUAGAUGUCGGCCUGGAGAGUUUGGACGGAGUAUACAGACCUGUACGACGGACCAGUGCAAAAAAGUUGAGUCU
rnacentral:rRNA from 1 species